rnacentral:misc_RNA from 1 species
GAGUCUCGGCGGAGAGAGUCUUAUGAAUAGCUGUCUCGCAGGAGCGAUCCGACUGCACGGUUUUGCCGUUGCCGCGUCCGCGAUCUUCGCCCUCUCGCAAGCUGAUGCAGCCCAGCAGCGAACGCCGUUGCGCGGAGGUGCUUCGCUCGGCGGGCGCGUGAUCGAACGCUUCGUCCUGCUCCAAACGAUCCACGUAAAUCAUCCGCUUCUGAC